AGCAUUUAUAUAGGUAUUUUCCAAAAUUGCACAACUCUUUGAUAUUCUUCGUUAAAAGUAAUUGAAUAAGUUUAAAAACAGAAGGCUUUUCAUAAUAAUAUUUUUUUUACAUACAACUUUCUAAUUCUUGCUAUAGAUAUAGCAAGACACGUUCCAUGAAUUUUUCUCAGUUGAAUUUCUACAUAUUAUAAUUGUUCUGCAUUAAAACAGGAAAACAAUC
rnacentral:misc_RNA from 1 species